rnacentral:rRNA from 1 species
UACGAAGGUGGCAAGCGUUACUCGGAAUUACUAGGCGUAAAGGGCAGGUAGGUGGUUUGGUAAGUCUGUUGUGAAAUUUCCCGGCUUAACUGGGAAGGGUCAACAGAUACUGCCAGGCUUGAGUAUAGGAGAGGGUACUGGAAUUCCCGGUGUAGCGGUGAAAUGCGCAGAGAUCGGGAGGAACACCAAUGGCGAAAGCAGGUACCUGGACUAUUACUGACACUCAGCUGCGAAAGCUAGGGGAGCAAACAGG